GAGUACGUAAAUUCUGCAUUUACUUGCAAAGACAUCAAUACGAUCAUGACUUCCAUUGAGAAGGGCAGCUACUUGACCGUGUCAGCUGUCGUAAAGGAUCUUGCAGACAUUGUGUAUGAUGCAAAAUCAUUCUUGAAGAAACAUCCCAAAAAUGACUUUCUUGCGGCAAACACCAAAGGGUUUGAAAAUGAGCUCAAAGCUAUCCUGAACGAAGAAAUGUUCGCAAAAUAUGAUUUCAAUCACAUGUUCAUGGAUCCUUGAAGGCAUUUCAUAUCUUUCUCAUUCUUUUAUGAAUUUCAUUUUAAUUAAUUGUAUAAAACUAGUUUUAAUCAUUUUUUUUUAAUCUUGACUGAAAUGAAUUUAAAAAAAGAAGAAUUUUAAUUACAUUCCAGAGUUGUAAACCAACUUAAAAAAAUGAAAUAAAUUAUUUUCUCAUCAUCA